UACGUAGGGGGCAAGCGUUGUCCGGAAUCAUUGGGCGUAAAGAGCGUGUAGGCGGCCCGAUAAGUCCGCCGUGAAAGUCCAGGGCUCAACCCUGGAAUGCCGGUGGAAACUGUCGGGCUGGAGUCCGGAAGAGGCGAGUGGAAUUCCUGGUGUAGCGGUGAAAUGCGCAGAUAUCAGGAGGAACACCAAUGGCGAAGGCAGCUCGCUGGGACGGUACUGACGCUGAGACGCGAAAGCUAGGGGAGCAAACGGG
rnacentral:rRNA from 1 species